UUAGUGUUGUUGCUUCUGCCUUGGGUAUUCCGGCACUGUUGCCUUUCUUGAAAGCUGUCUGUCAAAGUAAGAAAUCAUGGCAAGCUCGCCACACUGGAAUCAAGAUUGUGCAGCAGAUUGCUAUCUUGAUUGGUUGUGCUGUUCUGCCUCAUUUGAGGUCUCUUGUUGAAAUCAUAGAGCACGGUCUCAAUGAUGAGAAUCAAAAAGUGCGGACAAUCACUGCUUUGUCCUUGGCUGCUCUUGCUGAGGCUGCUGCCCCUUAUGGUAUUGAAAGCUUUGACUCUGUGUUGAAGCCAUUGUGGAAGGGUAUUAGGUCACACCGUGGGAAGGUCUUGGCUGCUUUCUUGAAGGCAAUUGGUUUUAUUAUUCCUCUAAUGGAUGCUAUUUAUGCCAGUUACUACACCAAGGAAGUCAUGAUUAUCCUAAUACGUGAAUUUCAGUCUCCCGAUGAAGAAAUGAAGAAAAUUGUGCUUAAAGUGGUCAAGCAGUGUGUGAGUACUGAGGGUGUGGAAGCUGAAUACAUACGUUCUGAUAUUCUUCCCGAGUUCUUUAGGAACUUCUGGGUUAGAAGGAUGGCAUUGGAUAGGAGAAAUUAUAGGCAACUUGUGGAUACAACUGUGGAGAUUGCUAACAAGGUUGGUGUCAAAGAUAUUGUAGGGAGAAUUGUUGAGGAUCUUAAAGAUGAGAGCGAACCAUACAGGCGAAUGGUUAUGGAAACAAUUGAGAAGGUGGUUGCAAACUUAGGAGCAUCUGAUAUUGAUGCUAGAUUGGAAGAAUUAUUGAUUGAUGGUAUUCUUUAUGCUUUCCAAGAGCAGACUAGUGAUGAUGCCAAUGUGAUGCUUAAUGGGUUUGGUGCUGUUGUGAAUGCUCUUGGACAGAGGGUGAAACCUUAUCUUCCACAGAUUUGUGGUACCAUAAAGUGGCGCUUGAACAACAAAAGCGCCAAGGUGAGACAACAAGCAGCAGAUCUUAUUUCUAGGAUUGCUGUUGUCAUGAAGCAGUGUCAAGAGGAACAACUGAUGGGUCAUCUUGGUGUUGUCUUGUAUGAAUAUUUGGGAGAAGAAUACCCUGAAGUUCUUGGAUCAAUU
rnacentral:misc_RNA from 1 species